UACAGAGGGGGCAAGCGUUGUUCGGAAUUACUGGGCGUAAAGGGCGCGUAGGCGGCCUUCUAAGUCGAACGUGAAAUCCCUGGGCUCAACCCAGGACUGCGUCCGAUACUGGAAGGCUUGAAUCCGGGAGAGGGAUGCGGAAUUCCAGGUGUAGCGGUGAAAUGCGUAGAUAUCUGGAGGAACACCGGUGGCGAAGGCGGCAUUCUGGACCGAUAUUGACGCUGAGGAGCGAAAGCCAGGGAGCAACAGG
rnacentral:rRNA from 1 species